rnacentral:rRNA from 1 species
UUCAACUUGAGAGUUUGAUCCUGGCUCAGAACGAACGCUGGCGGCAGGCUUAACACAUGCAAGUCGAGCGCAUCCUUCGGGGUGAGCGGCGGACGGGUGAGUAACGCGUGGGAACGUGCCCUCUUCUACGGAAUAGCCCAGGGAAACUUGGAUUAAUGCCGUAUACGCCCGAAAGGGGAAAGAUUUAUCGGAGGAGGAUCGGCCCGCGUUGGAUUAGGUAGUUGGUGAGGUAACGGCUCACCAAGCCGACGAUCCAUAGCUGGUUGAGAGGAUGAUCAGCCACACUGGGACUGAGACACGGCCCAGACUCCUACGGGAGGCAGCAGUGGGGAAUCUUGGACAAUGGGGGAAACCCUGAUCCAGCCAUGCCGCGUGAUCGAUGAAGGCCUUAGGGUUGUAAAGAUCUUUCAGCUGGGAAGAUAAUGACGGUACCAGCAGAAGAAGCCCCGGCUAACUCCGUGCCAGCAGCC